rnacentral:tRNA from 1 species
AUUUUCAUAGUUUAAGUAAAACGUUACACUGAAAAUGUAAAAUUAUUUUUUGAAAAUA